rnacentral:lncRNA from 1 species
GAAGUUCGGGCGAUAAGGGCACGACUUGCAUUACCUACUGCAAGCUUACCUUCAGGCUGCCAAUGGGAUGACCGCAAUAUGCACUCACAAUAUGAUAAACGCGGCGAUCGUAAUAUGUACACACAAUAUGAUAAACAUGACGACCGUGACAUGUAUUCGCAAUAUGAUAAAUAUGACGAUCGUGACAUGCACUCACAAUAUGAUAAACGUGAGAACCGUAACAAGCACUCACAAUAUAACAAAUAUGAUGACCGUAAUAUGUACUCACGAUUUGAUAAACGUGAUGACCGUAAUAUGCACUCACAAUAUGAUAGAUGGGAUGACCGUAAUAUGCACUCACGGUAUGAUAUUAUGUAAUGACUUAAAAUUAUAUUGUAAGAGUAAUAAAUAAAUGGUGGAUAUGUAUAAUUUCUCAGCUUUUGCUUUGAUUUCUCAGAAUGCAACUUGGUGUUUUUUAAAUAACAAACUCAAAUUCGGUUAC